rnacentral:rRNA from 1 species
AUUGAACGCUGGCGGCAUGCCUUACACAUGCAAGUCGAACGGCAGCACGGGAGCAAUCCUGGUGGCGAGUGGCGAACGGGUGAGUAAUAUAUCGGAACGUGCCCGGUCGUGGGGGAUAACGUAGCGAAAGCUACGCUAAUACCGCAUACGAUCUAUGGAUGAAAGCGGGGGAUCGCAAGACCUCGCGCGAUUGGAGCGGCCGAUAUCAGAUUAAGUAGUUGGUGAGGUAAAGGCUCACCAAGCCGACGAUCUGUAGCUGGUCUGAGAGGACGACCAGCCACACUGGGACUGAGACACGGCCCAGACCCCUACGGGAGGCAGCAGUGGGGAAUUUUGGACAAUGGGCGCAAGCCUGAUCCAGCAAUGCCGCGUGCAGGAUGAAGGCCUUCGGGUUGUAAACUGCUUUUGUACGGAACGAAACGGCGAGCUCUAAUACAGUUUGCUAAUGACGGUACCGUAAGAAUAAGCACCGGCUAACUACGUGCCAGCCGCCGCAGUAA